GGAGGGAUGGCCGAGUGGACGAAGGCGACGGUCUUGAAAACCGUUGUGGCUGCAAGGUCACCGAGGGUUCGAAUCCCUCUCCCUCCGCCA
rnacentral:tRNA from 1 species